GGGUCAGUAGGUUGGUCGUGCCACCGGUACGUACUGGUCUCACUGAUUCCUCCUUCCUGAAGAACCGUAAUGCCAUUAAUUUGGUGUUGCGGGGAGACAGGACUGUUACUUUGAAAAAAUUAGAGUGUUUAAAGCAAGCUAACGCUUGAAUACAUUAGCAUGGAACAAUGAAAUAGGACGAUCGAUCCUAUUUUGUUGGUUUCUAGGAUUGACGUA
rnacentral:rRNA from 1 species